CCUACGGGCGGCAGCAGUGGGGAAUAUUGGACAAUGGGCGAAAGCCUGAUCCAGCCAUGCCGCGUGUGUGAAGAAGGCCUUCGGGUUGUAAAGCACUUUCAGUGGGGAAGAAAGCCUUGGGUCUAAUACCCUCGAGGAAGGACAUCACCCACAGAAGAAGCACCGGCUAACUCCGUGCCAGCAGCCGCGGUAAUACGGAGGGUGCUAGCGUUAAUCGGAAUUACUGGGCGUAAAGCGCGCGUAGGCGGUCUGAUAAGCCGGUUGUGAAAGCCCCGGGCUCAACCUGGGAAGGCAGUCGGAACGGUCAGGCUAGAGUGCGGGAGAGGAAGGUAGAAUUCCCGGUGUAGCGGUGAAAUGCGUAGAGAUCGGGAGGAAUACCAGUGGCGAAGGCGGCCUUCUGGACUGUAACUGACGCUGAGGUGCGAAAGCGUGGGUAGCAAACAGGAUUAGAUACCCUUGUAGUC
rnacentral:rRNA from 1 species